ensembl:lncRNA
CCGAGGUGUGGACCGCUCAGCCCGGCGGGGUCCACGGGGCUCUGCAGCGAGCCUGACCACGGGGUCCAGAGGGAGGACGGUGGCAGCCAGAGGGAUGGAGGGGAUACAGGGAAAAGCGGCGCUGAAAAGCCAAGUUCGAGUUUCCCAGGAUGUGACAGCCGACUUCUCCCAGAACAAGUGAUCCAAAGAGAAGCAAUCAAGACAGAAACCUCAGGGCCUUUUAUGACCCAGCCUCCAAAGCCACACCCACCACUGCCACUUUAUUUGCUUGAAGCGAGCACUGAGUCCGGCCCCCACCCAAGGCAAGGGGAACAGGUUCCAUCUCUUGGAGGGAGGAGUACUUGAAGGGAGUAUUUGUGGACAUAUUUUAAAUCCUCCAGAUAAUCUAACAUUCACCCAGCCCUUGCUCACCACCAGCAGCGUCGGCUCACUCUGCACUGGCUGCAGACUGACCGCACCAAGGUGGGACCUCUUUGUCUGGCCCUAGGAGUCUCUAGGAGACCAGAGCCAGAAGCAGCUCAGCCCAAGGCCACGUCCAUCCUGCUGAGGAGUAAGGAGACUCCAUUUCUCCCCAAUCAUGCUCUCUAGCACUGCCACCUGCUGGAUCCCAGGCUGGAAAGGACGGAGCAGCUACUGGAGUUGACACCAUCUGCAUCCACCAUCCUGACCCUGUGGACCUCACGCUGGACAUGGAGUGGCUCUACUGAGAGCUGAGCCACCAGCCCCAUGGUGUCGCCCGGCUUGCACAGGGACUGUCUCUGUGGUGAGCACAUGGUAGGGACAGGGGUCUCCUCCUGCACCCCAGAUGGAUUCUUCUCUUGGUGCUCUGAGCUCUGGCCAUAGCAUACAUCCACGUCUGCUUCUAGAGUUCUCUCUCCUCACUCUUCUUUUCCUUGUGAGGUCCCUCUUCCCCACCGAGGCCUACGUCACAGAGAGAGAGAGAUGGAAAGUCAGAGAAAGGUUAUAGGAGGCACCGCCAACUGUCUGGAGGGACACAACCUCCUGAUGGCAUCUGUUCGGUCCAGCCCCUCCCUCCCUUCCUUAACCCUUUCAAACCUCCCGCCUCGCUCUUACCUGCUCUCUGCAGUCACACCAGACCAGCCUUGACCUGCCUCCCCAGUGUUCCCCUUCAGGUUCUGUGACUUCUACACCCUCCUUGAGAACCCCAGAGGCUCCAGUCUCCUCCACCUCUACAGAAAGAGCCUUCUCUCCGUGUCUCCUUCCGUCCCACCUCCACAUCGCCAAGCUUAGCGAUGAGAAGGACCAGAGAGCACACACAGCGCCUGCAGGUGAGCUGGAUGACUGCUUCUGGAGGAUGCCCAAGUGAUGGAGCAGUCGCCUCGGUUCUCCUUCCUGUGACCUCUCAGCAUCCAGCACACCAGCCUCGGCUCGUUCAUGUGGUCACAGAGCUCCCAGAGGGCAAGCCCCAGCACACAGCACUUUUCCAGCCUCUGCUCACCACAUCAGGUUUCUCUCGUCCCUUUGACCAAGACAAGUCAUGGCCAAGCCGGAGUCACAGGGUGGAGGUGGCCUCCCCACCUUGGUGGCAGGGGCUGCAACACCACGUUGGAGGCGUGGCUGCAGGGAGUCUCUGGCCCUGCGCUGUCCGCUCACCCUUAACUUCACCAUCACAACCUGCGCUGCGUGGAGGACAUGCAGCCACGGCGCUCGGAGGAGUUCAACAAAAUAGAGAAGGUUUUGCAGCUCCUGCUCAGGCCCUUGUCAAGAACGCCAGUGUCAGCCCAUCUGCACCAGCUGCAGGCUGACCUCGCUCAGGUGGGACCUCCAGAGAAGAUGGCCCAGCGAGACCUAGUGGAAAUUCUUACCCACAGUCCCCCAGGGCCGAGUCCUCCCCUUGGCCUCAGCCCUUUCCUGCAGCCCAUCUAGGACAGCCACUGGCCCCCAGGCUCUGCUCUGGACUUUCCCAUCCUCCUGAGCCUCUAAUCUCCCACACAGUAUUUACUAGGAACAAAAUGACAAAAUGUAGCAACU